GCCGAGGUCGCAUAAUCCGGUAGUGCGUCGGUCUCGAACCAGUUUUGCCCCCGCGUUUCCCAAAAGCGGGCGGGAUAACCGAUCCCUUUGGGAUUGCAGGUUCAAAUCCUGCCCUCGGCG
rnacentral:tRNA from 1 species